UUAGGGGAGAAGGAUUUGAACCAACAUCAAAAAACCCAAAAUUUUACGAAUUUCAAUUAUACUACCCCCUA
rnacentral:tRNA from 1 species